UGGGGAAUAUUGGACAAUGGGCGAAAGCCUGAUCCAGCCAUGCCGCGUGUGUGAAGAAGGCCUUUUGGUUGUAAAGCACUUUAAGCGAGGAGGAGGCUACUGGUAUUAAUACUACCGGAUAGUGGACGUUACUCGCAGAAUAAGCACCGGCUAACUCUGUGCCAGCAGCCGCGGUAAUACAGAGGGUGCGAGCGUUAAUCGGAUUUACUGGGCGUAAAGCGUGCGUAGGCGGCUUCUUAAGUCGGAUGUGAAAUCCCUGAGCUUAACUUAGGAAUUGCAUUCGAUACUGGGAAGCUAGAGUAUGGGAGAGGAUGGUAGAAUUCCAGGUGUAGCGGUGAAAUGCGUAGAGAUCUGGAGGAAUACCGAUGGCGAAGGCAGCCAUCUGGCCUAAUACUGACGCUGAGGUACGAAAGCAUGGGGAGCAAACAGG
rnacentral:rRNA from 1 species